rnacentral:lncRNA from 1 species
CAGUCAAAUAAUAUUUUAUUGGAUGGAAAACUUCUCUACAUUGAAGUAGAGUAGCAUUUCCUCCGUCUAAAACUAUGUACCUUAAGGCUUAGAGGUUUCCGCUCUUCUUUUGAUGGUUGUAUUCUAGAAUUUUAAUAAUAAUAAUAACUAAGAUUCUCUUAAUUUAUAAUUAAAUAUAUAUGUAUAUGUACAUGUUUAUCUUUAUCUAUCACCACUGUAUAUCUCCAUUCUAGAGCUAUAUCCUAUAUUUCUAGAUAAAGAAGUUUUCAUUUCUUUUAAUCUAUAUUCAUACAUGUAUGUGAUCCUUUGGUUAUCAUAGUUUGCCUUCUUGAGAACUACUGUACUUUUACCACACUUUUGCUAUCAUAUCCACCAGAAAUUAAAGAACAUACCAAAAUAAGUUAUUUAGGGAAAAUUAACUCUCCCUUCCCUACCUUCCAAUUUAGGAAAGAGAUGAUCAGUGUUAUGUUUCUAAAGGUUAGGAUUCAGACACACACAUGAGCACACGUGCACAGGAGAAAGAGAGAGAGAGGAAGUAAAGUGUCUUUCUCUUACAGAAUCUUAAGUUGGAUUAAGCUGGUGAAUUCCUGAAAAUGGGAGAGACUAAGGGGUGGAGAGGAAAUGUUUAAGGGACAGGGGUUGGGGGAUACCUGUCCAGGUAGAAAUCUGGCCCACACCUGUGUACUCAGCCCAGCUGGGAUCUCACCGCAGAAUGCCUAGGAAGCAUAUCUCUUAGCCUGGAGAGCAGUGGGGAGAUAUCCGCGUCAGCACAGUGCUACCCAUUGAAAGGCAACCUGGACAAGGCAAAGUGUCUAACCCAUGUCAGAGGACCAUGGCUGGACCAGUCCCACACAGCAGAGGAGGAACAAUAACAAUGGCAACCUUAUAAACUCAUCCUCAUGCCUCCCUUGUUUUCUUGCAUUAUAAAAACCUGAGAUUCCUGUGUGAAACCAAAGGGAAGAUAAAAGCAGCUGUAACGAUGACUGAGAGUGGGUUUUCCACUGGGUACAAAGAUGCUCUAAGCAGAUAAUUUGUAAAUUUAGAGAUAUGAAGGAAUAGACAAUCCUUUGCAUCCUAGCGUUGUAAAUUCUAAUUCAAAAUGGCCAUAUGGUACUCUGGAUAUAAAUACACCACUCUUUUGCAGAAGGACAAAGUAAUCUUCCCCUGGGUUUCCAAUAUCCUUACUAUUGAUUCCAAAACCCUUAUCAGGAUUCUACUAAUCCUUACUAGGAGUCUACAAAGAUUCCCCACUACCAUUUGUUUAUUCAUAACCAAGAGCUUAGACCACAUCUUCUUAUAAACAUACUUUCACAUUGGUUUCCCCUAACACAGAACUUUUACACUUGUCAGUCACCUGUUAUUUUUGUGCCCACACACAUCUUCAUGAGAACACCUGGCCAACGGGCACCACAUCUUUUAAAUUUACUUGAGUUAGCAUUUAGAAAAAUGUCAGGGGCAUGAGGACACUUAAGAAAUAUUCCCAUCAUGAUGCUUCUUCAGAGGUAUAGGUGAUCCUAUAAACAGUGGGCAAAGAGGUCACGUGGGUCAGGGCAGAUGUUAUGACAAGGUGAUUAUUCCCUCACUCCGGUACAUGUUUUGGGGUCUGUGGUAAAGAGGGGUAGGGCCAGAGACAGGUUGUAGCUCCCUCAGAAAAAUGUCACUUGUUGACUUACAAUAAGGACUUACUCCUCUUACAAAAGUGAUAGUUUGUUAAUUAAAAGUUAAUUAAAUGUAAGAGUUCCUGCUGUGGCUCUGAGGUAACGAACCCGACUUGUAUUCAUGAGGAUGUAAGUUUAAUCCCUGGCACCGCUCAGUGAGUUAAGGAUCUGGUGUUGCCAUGAGCUAUGGUGUAGGUUGCAGACACAGCUUGGAUCCUCCGUUGCUGUUGCUGUGGCUGUGGCAUAGGCCUACAGCUAUAACUCCAAUUUGACCCCUAGCUUGAGAACUUCCACAUGCUGUGGGUAUGGCCCUAAAAAAAAAAAAAAAAUUAAAAUGAAUAUGUCUAUAAUGUACCCUAUUUGCAAAGCUCUGAGAAUGAAAUAGUCACCUUUGUUUAAUCCUCAACACCACACAUACAACUCUUUAAACAGACAUCCCAUUCCUUUGCCUUAAUGGUAACGAAGUCACAGACACUAAAAAGUUACUGGGAGUAUUAAUACCAACUAUGUGCUUACUGUGUGCCCAGCACACUUUAAAAUCUUCUUCCCAGAUUAUCUCACUUAUCUUCACUAUAAUCCUAUGUGGUUAGAUAAUGUUAUUUAUCCUUAUUUUCUAAACAGAGAAACCAGAGCUCAGGGAGGUUAAGCAACUUGCCCCAAAUCACCCAGACAGUAUGUGGUAGAGCUGGGUUACAAAUCCUGGCCCUGUCAGUGGUCUAUGCUCUCACCUCCCUCCACGGAGCGGCCAAAACUAAAUGCAGAGUAUAAAAACCAAGUACUAGACAAAGCUCUAAAUGCUUUGCUCUGAAGAACUCAGGGGCCCAGCUGAAUGCUGAAGGAGAGAGAACACAGAGGAUGUGCAUAAUUACUCCAGGCAAUGGGAACUUUUAAGUCAAUGCACUGAUGAAAAAUGUGCCGUUCACGCAAGGAACCCAGAGGAGACAAGAUUCCAGAAGAAAGGAAGCCAACGUUUGACUCUGUGCCUCUCUCAACUCUCCUCUUUGAGACCCUCCUGAUGGUGGCCACAUGGUCAGCAUGGACCUCACUUUUGCUUUCAUUUGUUUGCUUCCUGAAGUGAUGUUAGAGGGCUUAAGGCCUUUGGUCCCAAAUUAGCACUGUUUGGGGGAGGGGGUAAGGGCAGGGCAGAACUAGCACAUUUUCUCCCUGGAGCUGUACUGAUAUGUCUCUGCUCACCUCUAUGGAUUCAUCCCGGUCGGAGCAAGAAUGCAUGUGAGUCUACACAGGGACAGGAGGAGUGGCUCCCACAUGUAGAGUCCAGCCCCAAACCCAGUCUGUCUGUCUGUCUCUCUCUAUAUAUAUAUAUCUUUCUUCCUUUCUGUCUUUCUUCCUUUCUCCUUUCCUUCCUUUCUUUUCAUAAGAAAACAAAUUAGUAUUUUGGUUUUAAGGAUGUGAGAUAGCAACCGAACUAUUAAGGAAGCAUAUUCAUUAGGAGAUCUUUAAAAAUAUGCAUUUCUUUAAGCAUGUGGGAGAAAACCUCAGGAGCCCUAUGUGGAAGGUGGUCUGGUAUAGAGGAAAGACACCUUUUGUGCUCCUCAAUCCUCACAAUCACUUACCACAUCCCACCAGUUUUCUUUUACAAUGUUUCUCUCACAUCCUUCCUACUGCCUCUGCCACUUUCCUAGCAGGAGAAUGGAAGAACCAUGAUAGGAACAUCUGGGGAUUUCAGGCCCAGAUGUUCCAUUACAGCCUGAUGAAGAGCUCUAUUAAAAGUAUAGGAAACACAGGGAGUUCCCGUCGUGGCGCAGUGGUUAAUGAAUCCAACUAGGAACCAUGAGGUUGCGGGUUCGGUCCCUGCCCUUGCUCAGUGGGUUAAAGAUCCGGCGUUGCCGUGAGCUGUGGUGUAGGUUGCAGACACAGCUCGGAUCCCGCGUUGCUGUGGCUCCGGCGUAGGCUGGUGGCUACAGCUCCGAUUCGACCCCUAGCCUGGGAACCUCCAUAUGCCGCAGGAGCAGCCCUAGAAAUGGCAAAAAGGCAAAAAAAAAAAAAAAAGUAUAGGAAACACAAAAUCAGACAAUAACAAUAACUGAAAGGUGCCUCCUUUUUCUAGACUAUACUUUCUUCUAUAAGCCCCUAAUAAAUUGUAAAAUCUUGUACAGGGCAGAUCAUGCCUAAAAUUCCUCAUCAGAGGGGAUGAAGCAAUGAGCCUCAGGGUUCCUCCUACUCCUAAAAGAUCAGCUACUUCUAGGAGCUUAAAAUCAAGUUGGGAAAUUAGAUGCUCAUUGAUUGAACAGCAACAGUGUGAGGGUCUGCAUGCAACACGGUACUUGAUGCUAGAUGGGAAUGGAGUGGUCCAUAGGAGCCCUUUCCUCCCUUUUUAGUGGGGAAGACACUUGCUGAUAAAUAAGAUCACAAUAAAAUGAUACUGAUGAGUAUUAUGAUAGGGCAGAAUGUCCCAUACAGGCCUAACUGGGAGGAAAAAAAUUCCCAUAAGGUGCUUGGAAAAGAUUCCUGAGCCCUACCCAAACCCCAGGAACCAAAAUUGUCUUAGAGAUGCCUUUAAGCCUUUUAAACUUGCAAUCUUCAAUAGGCAAGUUUGGAAAACAUGGUGAUCAAGAGUGAGCAGGACAUUGGGGCAACUCACACCUACAGGAAACAAGCAGUAAUAGGAGAGUCUAAGAUGAAGUAUAUCGUGAAGAGCCAUGUAUGACAGUGGCUAUGAGUGAAAGGGCUCUAGAGUCACACAACAAAGGCUCACAUCCCAACAUCUUCACCAAGAAUGGAAAUAAUAACAAUAAUUAGGAUUGUUGUAAGGAUUGAGAUAAUCCUUAUAAUAUUGAGUAGCACAGUUAUAAUAAAACCAGAAGGCAAAUCAUGAAUCAUAAGAGAUUCACUAUAAGGUUCAUAUCCCCUGUUCUCCAAACUGGGAGAAAGUAAUAAAUGUGAUAAAUUACUAGCAAAAUAAUCAGUUCUGUUUCUUCUGUGAAAAGGAAAAUAGGGAAAUGGAUGGUGGAUGAGGGAAAAUCCAGACCACGUUGUAAUCAAAAGGGAAGUCUUUCAUGUAAAAUGUGGUACUAUGGUAAUCAUAAAGGGUAGACAUAUUCAGAGAGAGAGGGAGGGAGAGAAGGAGAAGACAGCACAAAGGAAGCCAAUGACAUGGGGCUGUUUGUAGUCUGUGUGAAGGAAAGACCUGGGGAACAGCCCUAGUUCUGUCACUAACUAUCUAUGUACUUUUGGGUAAGUUAGUUAAUUGUCAUGGGCCUAAAUUUAUUUCUCUGUCUGAAUGGGGUUUUGUGAAUUAUAUUACAGAUAGAGUUGUAUAUAUAUUCUAUAUUUUGGUCAUCUUUAUAAUUCUCUCUGGUUUAAAAAUUCUGAAGGGAACAGCAAUAUAUAUCAGGUCCACUAGAUGGCAAUAGAUAGCUUUGUAAAGGGAGGUCUUUCAUUGAAAGAUGUUUCAUAAUCUGGCAAGAGUAUAUUUAAGGUUCUUGAGAAAACAGAGAGAAGACAUUAAUUCCUCAAACUGAGGUCUUUACUAAGAUUUAUAAUACAAAAAGAAAUCAGAUAUUUUUAAUCCCUUUGUUUCAGACCCACAUGUUUCAAGGGUUAG